GUGGUUUGGCAGCACAUACGCUAAAACUGGAAUGAUACAGAGAGGAUUAACUGGCCCUUGUGCAAAGAUGACACCCAAAAAGAAGGGGGAAAGAUUAUA
ensembl:snRNA U6 U6 spliceosomal RNA